AUUGAAUGCUGGCGGCAUGCCUAACACAUGCAAGUCGAACGGUAACGCGGAGAGCUUGCUCUCUGGCGACGAGUGGCGGACGGGUGAGUAAUACUUAGGAAUCUGCCCAGUAGUGGGGGACAACAUUCGGAAACGGAUGCUAAUACCGCAUACGCCCUGCGGGGGAAAGCGGGGGAUCUUCGGACCUCGCGCUAUUGGAUGAGCCUAAGUCGGAUUAGCUUGUUGGUGAGGUAAUAGCUCACCAAGGCGACGAUCCGUAGCUGGUCUGAGAGGACGAUCAGCCACACUGGGACUGAGACACGGCCCAGACUCCUACGGGAGGCAGCAGUGGGGAAUAUUGGACAAUGGGCGCAAGCCUGAUCCAGCAAUGCCGCGUGUGUGAAGAAGGCCUGCGGGUUGUAAAGCACUUUCAGUAGAGAAGAAAAGCUUACGGUUAAUAACCGUGAGUCUUGACGUAACCUACAGAAGAAGCACCGGCUAACUCCGUGCCAGCAGCCGCGGUAAUACGGAGGGUGCGAGCGUUAAUCGGAAUUACUGGGCGUAAAGCGCGCGUAGGCGGCUCUGUAAGUCGGAUGUGAAAGCCCUG
rnacentral:rRNA from 1 species